GAAGAGAGCACGAAUGCAAACCGUAAUUGUUGAAAAGAAAGUCAGUCAUUACAGUUUUAAAAGAUCUUUCAUUCAAGACAAAUAAAUCAUGGGCACUUUCAUAAAGAGAACAAACUAAAAUAGCGGAGAAAUAUGUAAAUAUUUCUCGUAAUAGCUGUAAAUCAUUUUUGAAAAUUAAGGUCGUAGUCAAAACACUGAACUCCGUUAAAUUGAAGCCAAACAUCAUCACUCCAAGUGUCAGUUGAAAAAAGAAGCGGUUUUCGACGAUCAUUUCUAUUCAUGCUGUUCAGUGGAUUGCCAGCUUUUUUUAAAUACAAGCAUCAUAAUUCUUUUAAUAAAUGGAUUGGAUCAUUUAUAUCUAGAUCAAUAGUGUUUUCACAGGUCUGAAUAAAAGUAUAAAUACAUCGAGAAUUAUAAUUGAGAGGUAAUGGUGGGAACUGAAAGGCAAAGCAGGAUUGUUUUAGCUGCUCUUACAGUAGAGAUGAAUUGUACGAUAUACCUUUUUAUCUAUUUUUUAAAAAAUUUUAGCAAUUACUUCUCCAUUGUCAAACAUUAACACAACUGAUGUUG